rnacentral:rRNA from 1 species
GUAGGUGGCAAGCGUUGUCCGGAAUUAUUGGGCGUAAAGCGCGCGCAGGCGGUCCUUUAAGUCUGAUGUGAAAGCCCACGGCUCAACCGUGGAGGGUCAUUGGAAACUGGGGGACUUGAGUACAGAAGAGGAAAGCGGAAUUCCAAGUGUAGCGGUGAAAUGCGUAGAGAUUUGGAGGAACACCAGUGGCGAAGGCGGCUUUCUGGUCUGUAACUGACGCUGAGGCGCGAAAGCGUGGGGAGCAAACAGGAUUAGAUACCCUGGUAGUCCACGCCGUAAACGAUGAGUGCUAAGUGUUAGGGGGUUUCCCGCCCCCCUUAGUGCUGCAGCUAACGCAUUAAGCACUCCGCCUGGGGGGUACGGCCGCAAGGCUG